rnacentral:rRNA from 1 species
UACGGGGGGGGCAAGCGUUGUUCGGAAUUACUGGGCGUAAAGGGUCUGUAGGUGGCCAGCUAAGUCAGACGUGAAAUCCCUCAGCUUAACUGGGGAACUGCGUCUGAUACUGGAUGGCUUGAGUGCAGGAGAGGAACGCGGAAUUCCAGGUGUAGCGGUGAAAUGCGUAGAUAUCUGGAGGAACACCGGUGGCGAAGGCGGCGUUCUGGACUGCAACUGACACUGAGAGACGAAAGCCAGGGGAGCAAACGGG